rnacentral:piRNA from 1 species
AAACAAAAAGUUGGGUAGUUUGAGAA